GGGGCGGUGGUCUAGUGGCUAUGAUGCUCUGUCUUGUAGACAGAGGGGUCGGUGGUUCGAAUCCACCUCGCUCUA
rnacentral:tRNA from 1 species